rnacentral:rRNA from 1 species
AUUGAACGCUGGCGGCAGGCUUAACACAUGCAAGUCGAGCGGAGAUGAGGUGCUUGCACCUUAUCUUAGCGGCGGACGGGUGAGUAAUGCUUGGGAAUCUGCCUAUUAGUGGGGGACAACAUUCCGAAAGGAAUGCUAAUACCGCAUACGCCCUACGGGGGAAAGCAGGGGAUCUUCGGACCUUGCGCUAAUAGAUGAGCCUAAGUCGGAUUAGCUAGUUGGUGGGGUAAAGGCCUACCAAGGCGACGAUCUGUAGCGGGUCUGAGAGGGUGAUCCGCCACACUGGGACUGAGACACGGCCCAGACUCCUACGGGAGGCAGCAGUGGGGAAUAUUGGACAAUGGGCGGAAGCCUGAUCCAGCCAUGCCGCGUGUGUGAAGAAGGCCUUUUGGUUGUAAAGCACUUUAAGCGAGGAGGAGGCUACCUGGAUUAAUACUUUAGGAUAGUGGACGUUACUCGCAGAAUAAGCACCGGCUAACUCUGUGCCAGCCGCCGCGGUAAUAC